rnacentral:lncRNA from 1 species
GGGGCUGAUCUGCCAGCGUGCGCCCACCCAAACCAGGAACUAGGUGUACCACCGUGGUCGCUAACCCGGUUGCCGAAAAAUGGCGCGCGCCCGUUUUGCCCCUUUCCCUUCGGCCGCCCAUGCGUGGUCUCAUUUCCGGCCCAUUUUUUUCCUGCCUCACCGGGAAGCCUCUGGCGCCUUCGGAGGCUGAAAAAAACACGAAAAAGGGGCCCCCGUUUCGUCACUUUUAUUUCCGGAAAUACCAAAACGGGCCUGUUUUUUUCGGCCUGCGACGGAAGCAGAAGCUUCCCGCGAACCUCCGGGACGCCGGAAAAAAAAACCACCCCAAACCAAAUAAAUCCUCUGGGGAGCCGCAGCGAAGUUGACGUUGGCACGGGGGGGCUCGCGUGCCGUAGGUCCUAGGACGUAAAGUGAGAGCAAACUCUACCACCCGCCACCCCCCACACUUUCCUAGCGCCGAUGACGUUCCCCAGCUGGUCUUCCGGGAAACGAAGAGAAGCUUAGACCCGGUUUGGAAGAUGGCGGCUUCCUUGGGGAGGGGUGGGGAGGGGAGGGAAAGGGGAGGGGGAAAUGGGGUGGGGUUGGGGGGGGUUCUUGUCCAUGAGCAGUGUGCCGUUCCCUCCCUCCAGCUUCCCUCCUCUUCCUCGUGGGGCCAGCAGCAGUCGGUCAACGCCUCCUCCGGUCAGAACAGCUUCAGCUUGGCCGACCUGCAGAAGCUGAGCGACGCUCGGGCGUGCCUGGAACUGCGGGAGGAGUGCCGCCAUCAGGACAUGCUCCAGAAACUCCUCCUCCACCACCACCACCAGCAGCCGCUCUGGGGCGGCCUGGCCAAGCACAGCCCCUCCCUCAAGGCCCUGCUGGAGCUGCAGCAGGAGAGCGAGAGGCACCUGCAGAAGCCGGCCCCAAACCGGGCUCAGCAGCAGCGCCCGGUGAGUCACGCACGCGCGCACGCACGCACAAGCCGACGGGGACGGACCAACGGGGAGGGAGGGAGGCGGGGGAGGGAAGCGGUCUUCCUCGCCGCUUCUCUGGAGGAGGAAACCCACCCGCCCGCCGCCUUCCCUCUCUUUGAGUCCGCACCUCCUGGCCUACUCUCUCACACACACACACCCACACAAACACACACCGUCCGUCUCUGGGCUCCUGUUUAUAGCCCUCUUUCCCCGCCGGUCAUAAAGGCCGAGGAGGAGGAGGAGGAGGAGAGGGAGG